GGAAAGGAAGUGAGGGCGGGGCCAGCUGAGCUCCCGCCCCUCUGUGUUGCCUUGGAGACCAAGUGUGUUUUCGUCGCAGUUGAGCGUCAACCUCGAAUUUGCGCCGGGCGCGUGGCUGGGAGACCAGCCUUCUAGGCGGGCGGAGAGGCUUCUCGGUAUCCGCCUGGUCUGAGACCAACCCGUAGACGACGGCUUCCCUGCAGGGGUGUCCCGCUCGAGGCCAAGAUGUCUUCCGUGGGGAAGGUGACCCAGAUUCCCAGCGGGAAGGUCUACCAGCAGAUCUUCGAGGC